rnacentral:rRNA from 1 species
CCCUUAGAUGUUCUGGGCUGCACGCGCGCUACACUGAUGCGCUCAACGAGUUUACGACCUUGCCCGGAAGGGUUGGGUAAUCUUUUUAAAACGCAUCGUGAUGGGGAUAGAUUAUUGCAAUUAUUAAUCUUUAACGAGGAAUUCCUAGUAAGCGCGAGUCAUCAGCUCGUGCUGAUUACGUCCCUGCCCUUUGUACACACCGCCCGUCGCUCCUACCGAUUGAGUGUGCUGGUGAAAUGUUCGGAUCGGCCGUUUGUCGCGGUUUCCGCGGCUCGUGGCUGAGAAGUUCAUUAAACCCUCCCACCUAGAGGAAGGAGAAGUCGUAACA